AUUGAACGCUGGCGGCAGGCCUAACACAUGCAAGUCGAGCGGAGCGGUGGACGGGAGAGUAAUGCCUAGGAAUCUGCCUGGUAGUGGGGGAUAACGUCCGGAAACGGGAGCUAAUACCGCAUACUAUCAGAUGAGCCUAGGUCGGAUUAGCUAGUUGGUGGGGUAAAGGCCCACCAAGGCGACGAUCCGUAACUGGUCUGAGAGGAUGAUCAGUAACUCUGGAAAUGAGACACGGGCCAGACUCCUACUGGAGGCAGCAGGGGGAGAUAUUGGACAAUGGCGAAAGCCUGAUCCAGCCAUGCCGCGUGUGUGAAGAAGGUCUUCGGAUUGUAAAGCACUUUAAGUUGGGAGGCGUUACCAACAGACUAAGCACCGGCUAACUUCGUGCCAGCCGCCGCGGUAAUAC
rnacentral:rRNA from 1 species